CCCUUAGAUGUUCUGGGCUGCACGCGCGCUACACUGAAGCGUUCAACGAGUAUUUCACCUUGCCCGGGAGGGUUGGGUAAUCUUUUUAAAACGCUUCGUGAUAGGGAUAGAUUAUUGAAAUUAUUAAUCUUGAACGAGGAAUUCCUAGUAAACGCAGAUCAUCAAUCUGCAUUGAUUACGUCCCUGCCCUUUGUACACACCGCCCGUCGCACCUACCGAUUGGAUGGUCCGGUGAAGCCUCGGGAUUGUGGUUCUUGCCGCUUUAUUGUGGCGUGACCGCGAGAACUUGUCUAAACCCUAUCAUCUAGAGGAAGGUGAAGUCGUAACA
rnacentral:rRNA from 1 species